rnacentral:rRNA from 1 species
GACGAACGCUGGCGGCGUGCUUAACACAUGCAAGUCGAACGGAAAGGCCCUGCUUUUGUGGGGUGCUCGAGUGGCGAACGGGUGAGUAACACGUGAGUAACCUGCCCUUGACUUUGGGAUAACUUCAGGAAACUGGGGCUAAUACCGGAUAGGAGCGCCUGCUGCAUGGUGGGGGUUGGAAAGUUUCGGCGGUUGGGGAUGGACUCGCGGCUUAUCAGCUUGUUGGUGGGGUAGUGGCCUACCAAGGCUUUGACGGGUAGCCGGCCUGAGAGGGUGACCGGCCACAUUGGGACUGAGAUACGGCCCAGACUCCUACGGGAGGCAGCAGUGGGGAAUAUUGCACAAUGGGCGGAAGCCUGAUGCAGCAACGCCGCGUGCGGGAUGACGGCCUUCGGGUUGUAAACCGCUUUCGCCUGUGACGAAGCGUGAGUGACGGUAAUGGGUAAAGAAGCACCGGCUAACUACGUG